AAGUCGUAACAAGGUUUCCGUAGGUGAACCUGCGGAAGGAUCAUUAACACAAGUAAAAAAACAUUUUACAACACCCUAUUAUGAAUUUAAAUUUUUUAAUUUUAAUUUUUUUUAUAAAACUACAAAAAAAAUAUUUAAUUUAUUUGACUAACAUUUUUUUAAUUAAUUUAUUUAAAAUUUUAUAAAACAACUCUUAACAACGGAUAUCUUGGCUCUC
rnacentral:misc_RNA from 1 species